AAGAUUUUGAUUUAAAAAUCAGAAUCUUUAAUUUUACACGAUUUUUUGAUUAAUUUUUAAUACGCUCUAGUUUUUUAGUCUUAAAUGGUAUGCAUACAAUUGUUGCAAUUUAAUAUUGCGUAUUCCCUCCUCUUGCUCGAAUGACGGCCUGCAUCCGCCGUUUUAAUGACCUUAUCAAGAUUUUAAUGGUCUCUUGAGGGAUUCGGUUCCAUUCUUCCCUAAUGGCGGUUUCCAGGUCUCCUAAUGUUGUAGGGACUGGAUUACGGGCUCUAACCUUUUGUUUUAGGGUGUCCCACAUAUGCUCUAUAGGAUUGAGAUCGGGGCUUCUUGCUGGCCAGGACAUUACCCGAAUGCCAACCUCUUGAAGCCGGCAUAAGGCAUCACAUGGUCUUCUAAGAUCUCUGUGAUAUAGCGUGCAGCAGUUAAAGCACCUCUUCGUAUGAAAAUCAGCUCCGUCCGUCCAGUCAAAGAUAUUCCACCCCAAAACAUUACAGAGCCCCCACCAUAACUGACAGUUUCCCUUAUGCAACACUGGGUAUAACGUUCACCUGGCCGUCGCAUGACAUUACGGCGUCCAUCAGAACCGUGUAAAGUCAUUCGACUCUCAUCACUAAAAAGAACUGACUCCCAUUGGCCUAUGGUCCAGUUGAUAUGAUUACGUGCGAAUUGAAGUCUGGCUUGUCGAUGAGCUGUGGUCAAUUGUGGUCCUGUUGCUGGCUUAUGUGGUCUUAAAUUCUGCUCACGAAGUCUCCUUCUUACAGUACUGUCACUUAUAGCCACCCCCCGAUCUUCGCGUAAGCGUCGCUGGAGAUCAACACCAGAUAGGUGUCGAUUCCGUAGAGCUGAUAACACUAUAAAGCGGUCAUCUCUUUGAGUUGUCACUCUAUGUCUUCCAGAUCCAGACCUUCUUCGAUACUGCCCAGUCUCCAGAAACCUUUGGUAAACUC